ensembl:lncRNA
AGGUCCCAGUGAGAUAACCAUCACUCGGUGACUUCUGUCUGGUGUUCGGCCCCUGUCUCAGGCCGCUGUGGCCCAAGAGAGGCCUGGGGAGACCACCUUGACAAUUUGAUCAGGGCCCUGGGGGCUCGGGUCUCAAGUGGAGGAUUCGGGUCACUCCAGCCAUACUGAGAGGAGUUUAUCUGAAACACCUCCGAAGGUCAGAAAAACCUCAGGCCCUGAUUCACCUCCUAGAAUCUGUUUUCCAUACUCAUCAGCCUACCUGGGAAGACUGCCAGCAGCUGCUCCACACCCUCUUCACUACGGAGGAGUGGGACCAGAUUUUUCGAGGCUGUUAAGGCGGCUCUGGGACAAAACCCAGACCUUGGUCCGGCACUCUGGCUUAUCUGCAGCGAGCAGAGGCCGAGGUGCCAACCCACCGACCAGACUGGGACCCCAACACUGAUGCAGGUAGGAGAGAACUGGCCAGCUACAGCCAGCACAUUUUACAGGGACUCCAUCAAGCGCUAGAAAGUCAACUAAUUUGACCAAGUAUUCCAUCACGAGAGAGGCUAAAAAAAAGAUUUGGACACACAUCAACGGACUCCUAGAUGCCGAAAUCUUAAAGCUGUGCCAAUCACCUUGGAAUACUCCACUCCUGCCUAUCCAAAAGCCUGGUACUUCUGACUACAGGCCUGUGCAAGACCUCUGAGAGGUAAACAAAAGAACUGAGACUGUACACCCCACUGUGCCCAAUCCCUGUACCCUGCUAAGCCUCCUGCCUCCACAAUGACAAGUCUACACUGUGCUGGACCUCAAAGAUGCCUUCUUCAGUCUGCUUCUGGCCGAGCCCUCCAGGUAAUCCAACAGGAGCUGCGGAAUCGAGUUCGGGAGUCCAGGCUGGCCCCUCAACCUGAUGUCACCUGCCAUAAAUUUCAGCCUAGAGAUCUGGUGCUGGUAAAGAGACAUUCAUCUAAGGCUCUGGAGCCACAUUGGGAGGGGCCUUUCCAGGUGAUUUUGACGACGCCAUCGGCCAUAAAGGUCACAGAAAAAACAGAGUGGAUGCAUCACUGCCACAUCAAAGUGGCUCCUGAGGACACCCUGGAGGACAAAUGGAGGGUCAUCAGUCAACCAGGCGACAAAAAGUUAAGACUGGGACGGGUUGAAAAUACACCCCCAUCUUGUUAAUAUUUUCUAAAACAUUGACAAUAUUACCCCAAAAACAAUUGGACCAUACUGGUAAUGUUUGGAUUCAGUUGGCACAAUCACUUAAUUUGUCUGAGUUCUGUUUAAAUGUAGAUUUAAAUUUACAGUAUGUAUUAGGGAGUUGUCUCAUCCCAGUGUGCACCCCCUGGGGUCUGAUACAACCUUAUACUCUGUUUAAAGACAUCCCCCCCCCAAAAUCUUAUGUAUAAAGAUAGUUACAAUUGGGGGACCCCCUCUUAUUCUAAAUCAAAAAAUGCUAUUAAGUUAUAUACACCUCAGAUGGUCAUGUUAAACAAUACACAAUGUGCUGUAUAUAAAAAUUGUACUACAAAAUGUCUAAGAUUAAAAAGGUUAAAAAAAAUGACCUGUUAUAAAAAACAAAAAAUCAUAUACAGUGAUGGUCAUGUGCCUUUACCAUCAGGAUGGUUUUAUACAUGUAAAAGAGUAACACUUAAUUAUAUCCCUGCCUACUUGUCUGAGACUCGAUGCUGCCUAUGUUGCUUGGCCAUAAUAUUGCCAGAUCAAACUGAUUCGAUAUUGCCAAAAAAAAUUAAACGUUGGUCACCCUAUACUGCACCAGAAUGUGAUGAUGAUGUAGGUCUCUUGGCAGAUGCUCGAGUGAUACCUAUGAUAAUAUCUGUGCUUGCUCAGCCCACCAUAAAAAUUCAUACAAAAAAGGCAGUAUGAAAAUUGACAUGCAAGGUGGUCAAAGGUCUAAACACUACCUCAUCUGCCUUGACAUUAAUUAAUCAGGAGUUACAAAAACACAGACGGGCUAUACUAGACAAUAGGACAACAAUAGAUUACUUGCUCUUGUUCCAUCAUCAAGGAUGCAAAAAAAUAAAUAAUAUGUGUUGUUUUAAUCUGACUGACAAUAGCCCAGGGAUUCAAAAAUAAAUAAAUAAAACAAUUUUAAAAAUUGAUGGAAAAAAUACAUAAUAAAAAAUUAGGAUGGGAUCUGUUUCAAUGGUUAACUCAAUGGUUGCCUAAUAUGCAAUGAUUAAAACAGCUUUUUCUUGUAGUCUUAAUUGUAAUCACAUGUUUGCUGUUAUCAUGUUGCUACAUACAAUGCCUACCUUACUGUAUGGAAUGCUCUCAGUGGUUCAUGGAUUAUUAAAUUUGACUAUUAUGUUGCUAAAUCAAAUGUAUAAACCCUUGCCUAAAAAAAUGACAGAGUUAAAUCAAAGGUUUGAUUCUGUACAAAAACCAGUGGGGAAUGUGAGACCAAAGUGAACCUAAGAAAUGAACUCCCCUCAUACCCCUCCCCUUAUAGAGUGCUGGAAUUCCCCACGAGAUAGCCACUUGCUCUGCUUCUGUAAACAUGCUGUAUCGCUCCCCGGGAACAGAUGGUGCCCGGUGCCUCCCUGUAACCACCGAACCCUGUAGCCACAGAAGGCCCUAUCUUGGUAAGAUGGGUGGGAUAAAAAAAGAACUGGGUUGUGAAAGAUAUUUCACAGCUGGCUGAAGGACAUAGUGGCCUCUCCCCGAACGUCUUUGUUUGCGUUACCUAUAAACCUGUACUGUCCCCUGCUUCGGGACUUCACUUCUCCUAGAGAGUGGAGUCCACGCACGUGAAUAAACUCCUUUCAGUUUUAACUCUGUCUUUGUCCCAGUGUUUGGUGUUUUCCUGGUUCGCUUGACAUAACAAUUAGCCUAUCACUCCACUUUUUUUUUUCUUUUUUGGUACCUCGGGUGGAACUCAGGACUUUGUGCUUGCAAGGCAGGCACAGAGGCACUGAGGUAAAUCCUCGACCCCAGUCCACUUCAUUUUUUACACUAUAUCCAUAAUCUCCC